rnacentral:rRNA from 1 species
GAGGAGAGAUCUCGGUCUGGGUUCGCCCUGUACUGGGAGCCUCGAAUCUUUUUUCUGGGGAAGCUGGGUGUCUUUAAUCGGGCGCCCAGGGGAACCAGGACGAUUACCUUGAGAAAAAUAGAGUGUUCAAAGCAGGCUUGUGCUUGAAUACGUUAGCAUGGAAUAAUGAAAUAGGACUUUGGUUCUAUUUUGUUGGUUUUAAGGACCAAUGUC